AACAAACGCUGGCGGCGUGCCUAACACAUGCAAGUCGUACGAGAAAGUCGGCUUCGGCCGAUGAGUACAGUGGCGCACGGGUGAGUAGCGCGUGGGUAAUCUGCCCCCCGGUCAGGAAUAACCCGCCGAAAGGCGGGCUAAUACCCGAUAACACUGACGCUCCGCGGAGCGUCUUUCAAAGAAGGCCUCUGUUUACAAGCUUUCGCCGGAGGAUGAGCCCGCGUACCAUUAGCUAGUUGGCAGGGUAAUGGCCUACCAAGGCUACGAUGGUUAGCUGGUCUGAGAGGAUGGCCAGCCACACUGGAACUGAGACACGGUCCAGACUCCUACGGGAGGCAGCAGUAGGGAAUAUUGCGCAAUGGAGGGAACUCUGACGCAGCGACGCCGCGUGAGCGAUGAAGGUCUUCGGAUCGUAAAGCUCUGUCCUCAGGGAAGAAGGUUAUUAACUUGACGGUACCUGAGGAGGAAGCCCCGGCUAACUACGUGCCAGCAGCCGCGGU
rnacentral:rRNA from 1 species